rnacentral:rRNA from 1 species
GACGAACGCUGGCGGCGUGCUUAACACAUGCAAGUCGAACGGAAAGGCCCCUUUGGGGGUCCUCGAGUGGCGAACGGGUGAGUAACACGUGAGUAACCUGCCCUUGACUUCGGGAUAACUUCAGGAAACUGGGGCUAAUACCGGAUAGGAAUCCUUGCUGCAUGGUGGGGGUUGGAAAGCUUCGGCGGUUUUGGAUGGACUCGCGGCUUAUCAGCUUGUUGGUGGGGUAGUGGCUUACCAAGGCUUUGACGGGUAGCCGGCCUGAGAGGGCGACCGGCCACAUUGGGACUGAGAUACGGCCCAGACGCCUACGGGAGGAAGCAGUGGGGAAUAUUGCACAAUGGGCGGAAGCCUGAUGCAGAAACGCCGCGUGCGGGAUGACGGCCUUCGGGUUGUAAACCGCUUUCAGCAGGGGCGAAGCUUGUGGUGACGGUACCUGCAGAAGAAGCACCGGCUAACUACGUG